GUAACGCACGGCCCGGUCUAGGGUUCGGGACUUGUGCUAGUGCGCUACGCCGGUUAGCACUCUUGGUGCUUGCCGGAUUUGGCCUUUCUGGACCGCGUGCCGCACUCCCGUGGGGCGGCAGCGUGUUCCCUAACUUAAGCUUGAGUUCGUCGGGGCGCGACGACACAAGCCGGACACUAACCAAGUCCUCCGCACUAUGGGGAGGAUGGUUGUGUCCUCGGUCCUCCAACACUGCCUGAAGGGCAGUGCCAAAAGAGGAGCUUUACGCAAAUUGCAAAUCCUAAGUCUAACUUGCAAAUUAACUACAAAUGAGAGAUCUAGGGAUAAUACAAACUACUCCUAUUUGUUGGCACUCGGGUUUAUUAAAAUCAACCUCCGCCUCACUCCGCGGCUCGCGUACAACUGCCUCCUCCUCACUCUUCGAGUGCAGGGAGGGGCGCAUGAAAACAUAUAGUUCAGGGGAAAAUUACAAUGAUGCGCUGCAUUCAGGUUGUAAAAAAAAGAAACAAAAAAAGAAAAAAAAAAAGAAAAAAAUUAGCUCAGCCUCAGGCUGGACUAAUUUCAGAGUCUCCUUUAGUUCCUUUUUUGUUGAGAAGGGAAGAAUAAAACAAACAACAGCGCCUUAUUUAGUGGGGAAAUGGGGAGAAAAUUAUUUUCUUCGUGGAUGCAACUCGCUGGACGGACGCUGCUCUGCUGAUCAGCGUAAGUUGUCGGCGUGGUGCGCACUUUGAAGAACUUUGGUGGUUGACGACUGGGUGUGACAAUCUGGUCGCGUAAGUUGGGGGCUGGUGUUGUUCUCAGGCGGUAUAGGUCGUGCUGCUCUGGUAUGGCUCCGGUGGACAGGGUGAAACAGGCUCUGGUGGACACGGUGAAACAGGCAGGGGGAUGAAACAUAUGGAGAAUCUGAAGGAAUCGGUGGUCAUGUUGUCUGCUGGAGAUGAAGAAGGAACAUAGCGAGUGGAAGAUGAGAAUCAACGGUGUCUGCUAGAAAAUAAAAUAUUAAUAUCAGAAAUUUAGAACUUGAGAAUAAUAAAAAAAAAUUGAAUUGCAGUUUUAUCAGAGCGUCCUACAUCAGGGUAAUUCGUAAAGAGCACAAGAGAAAAUAUUUUCCCUGUACGAAACACGUACGCUGAUGAUCUUGGGAGGCUUUUCUUGGAUUCUGUGAUGAUAAUCACGGAAUUGGUACAAAAUUGAUAAUAUCAUUAAUUUUUAGAUAUACGAGAAGGGUAGUUAUUUUAUUUCAUUAUUUUUAUUUUUUUUUAUUUUAUUUAUUUAUUAAUUUUUUUUGAAAACAUAGAGAAAUAUUAAAUUGUUAUAAGAAAACUGCAUGAUAUACUUGGAUAAUAAUCUAUUGGGCGUUCUACUCACUUGGAACGGGAACGUUUAUGUUGAAUGUUUGAAUGGUAAAAUUUGCUGAGACAAAAUCUGCAUACGGCCGCACUGGUCACCACUUAAAUAUAAGAAUUAUUGUAUGUACUUCUCUGUCUUGGUAGAAAUCGCGCGCCAGUCUAGUCAUCCAUAGAGGCUGGCACAAAGUGCAUAACGAGCGGCCAGUUAGAAGACGGAAAUAGUGGGCGUCACAUUUCAAUUGUUUGUUUACAUUGGUGCUCAUGCCGGCGACUGUCUUUGUUUUGGUUCGACUAAUUACUACUGAAAAAUGUAAAAAUAAACCAAAUGUGGCUGCCGCUCACGCGUCUUUUGGACUUAAAGUAAGUGAAAUGCCCGGCUAGAAUACAGAGUGAUCUGGUCGGCAUUCGCAAUAAUAGUUUUCCCAUUAUCUUUAACACCGAUCGGUUUCAGGCGGAAACUAUUGUCACCUAGAGUAUCAAUAAUUUGGUAAAUAGCACUCGACCGUUUCGCCGCGAGGCCUGCUGAGAAUUUAGUUGCUGCGUUUGAUAAUGGGUGAAUAUCAAGAAGGACCAGAUUUCCAAUUUGAAAAUGGCUUUAUCCGUUGACAAGUUUCACAUGAGCGAACCCAGUCAUGGACAUCGUCCCGCAUUCCUCUCCACCAAAAAGUAUUUGAAAUGCGCUGGGCUGUUUUUUGAACACCAAAGUGACCACCAACAAGUGAAUCAUGGCAGAUCUGCAAAACAGCUUUCCUCAUGUGAUCAGGAAAGUCCCUGAGGAUGGCUCUGGAGGUUUCGGUUGAGAAAACGUCAGCGGCGCUCUGUUGGAGCAGCGACUGCAGUGAUGGCCAUUCAAUCCUACUUCACAGGUGUCGAAACGCAAUUUGGCCUCCCUGUGCUCAUGAAGUGGAAUUUCGCGUUCUCGCCAAUCCUCCUCUGCUUUUAUUGGUACCGCAGUCUCGUCUGGCGCUCUACUGAGAGCAUCAGCAAGCUGAUUUGAUUUUCCUCGCCGGUCUCAAAGGGGCUUGGAAAGGUGGUCCAUCCUGCACUUUGAGGACUUGCUCUACACCUUUGGCGAGGCCAGGCUUUUCUGAAAAGACGCCCUUGGUGUAGAAAUCUGCCACUACCUUUUUUAUGAGGCCACCAGUGUCAUUCUCUAUCCUGCUAAGACUGUACUGGACGAAUGGGUGCUCAACUAAAGGGUUGUCUGUCUUAAACCAACCUGUUGGCGUGACUGCCAUCUUUGCCUGACAGAGGAAAUCGCGUCCCAAUAAGAUUUGAUCUGAAUUGUCAGGAACUGCGAAGAAAUUCUGCACAAAACUCCCUGCAGGAGUGUGAAUCUUGAUAGACAUUCCGCCAAGUAGGUUUCCCCUGACUUGUGCGCUUAUUCAGGUCAUUUUGUCUUGCGGCUGCUGCGCCAGGUGGGCCAUUUGAUUUCCAUGGUAAAGCCAGCUGUCCACGACCUGCGGCACCUUGGACUGCAGGACGUUGUGGCUGGUUAAUGGCGCGAGGUUGGAAACCUCCUCUGGUGGGUUGUCCCUGAUACCAAGGACGAGGGCCAGGGUGAGGCCCCCUGCCAAGUCUGGGGUUUAGAGAAUUUAGAGUGACCUGCUGACUCAUGGAUUGACUGCCAGGGUGGCCAUGCGCCUGGACCAAUGGUGUUUGAGGCGUCUUUCUGACUUGGUAAGCGAACGCAGGCUCUGCAAACUCGGCUGCUGGAGGCGGAAGCCGGUAAGUGCGAGAUCUGUAUAUUUCAGCUUGGACCAAUUUGAGUGUCUCAUCAAGGUCAGCAAUUGUUGCAAAUGUCCUACCGACAAUAAAUCGUCGAUAUUCAGGGUGA